rnacentral:rRNA from 1 species
CCAGACUCCUACGGGAGGCAGCAGUGAGGAAUAUUGGUCAAUGGGCGAGAGCCUGAACCAGCCAAGUCGCGUGAGGGAGUACUGCCCUAUGGGUUGUAAACCUCUUUUGUCGGGGAGCAAAAGCCGGACGUGUCCGGCUGUGAGAGUACCCGAAGAAAAAGCAUCGGCUAACUCCGUGCCAGCAGCCGCGGUAAUACGUAGGUGGCGAGCGUUGUCCGGAAUUACUGGGUGUAAAGGGAGCGUAGGCGGGAGAGCAAGUCGACUGUGAAAUCUAUGGGCUUAACCCAUAGCUGCGAUCGAAACUGUUCAUCUUGAGUGAAGUAGAGGCAGGCGGAAUUCCUAGUGUAGCGGUGAAAUGCGUAAAUAUUAGGAGGAACACCAGUGGCGAAGGCGGCCUGCUGGGCUUUAACUGACGCUGAGGCUCGAAAGCGUGGGUAGCAAACAGGAUUAGAUACCCCGGUAAA